rnacentral:rRNA from 1 species
AGGCUUAACACAUGCAAGUCGAGGGGCAUCAGGAAGAAAGCUUGCUUUCUUUGCUGGCGACCGGCGCACGGGUGAGUAACACGUAUCCAACCUGCCCUUUACUCGGGGAUAGCCUUUCGAAAGAAAGAUUAAUACCCGAUGGCAUAAUGAUUCCGCAUGGUUUCAUUAUUAAAGGAUUCCGGUAAAGGAUGGGGAUGCGUUCCAUUAGGUUGUUGGUGAGGUAACGGCUCACCAAGCCUUCGAUGGAUAGGGGUUCUGAGAGGAAGGUCCCCCACAUUGGAACUGAGACACGGUCCAAACUCCUACGGGAGGCAGCAGUGAGGAAUAUUGGUCAAUGGGCGCUAGCCUGAACCAGCCAAGUAGCGUGAAGGAUGAAGGCUCUAUGGGUCGUAAACUUCUUUUAUAUAAGAAUAAAGUGCAGUAUGUAUACUGUUUUGUAUGUAUUAUAUGAAUAAGGAUCGGCUAACUCCGUGCCAGCAGCCGCGGUAAUACGGAGGAUCCGAGCGUUAUCCGGAUUUAUUGGGUUUAAAGGGAGCGUAGGUGGACUGGUAAGUCAGUUGUGAAAGUUUGCGGCUCAACCGUAAAAUUGCAGUUGAUACUGUCAGUCUUGAGUACAGUAGAGGUGGGCGGAAUUCGUGGUGUAGCGGUGAAAUGCUUAGAUAUCACGAAGAACUCCGAUUGCGAAGGCAGCUCACUGGACUGCAACUGACACUGAUGCUCGAAAGUGUGGGUAUCAAACAGGAUUAGAUACCCUGGUAGUCCACACAGUAAACGAUGAAUACUCGCUGUUUGCGAUAUACAGUAAGCGGCCAAGCGAAAGCAUUAAGUAUUCCACCUGGGGAGUACGCCGGCAACGGUGAAACUCAAAGGAAUUGACGGGGGCCCGCACAAGCGGAGGAACAUGUGGUUUAAUUCGAUGAUACGCGAGGAACCUUACCCGGGCUUAAAUUGCAGUGGAAUGAUGUGGAAACAUGUCAGUGAGCAAUCACCGCUGUGAAGGUGCUGCAUGGUUGUCGUCAGCUCGUGCCGUGAGGUGUCGGCUUAAGUGCCAUAACGAGCGCAACCCUUAUCUUUAGUUACUAACAGGUUAUGCUGAGGACUCUAGAGAGACUGCCGUCGUAAGAUGUGAGGAAGGUGGGGAUGACGUCAAAUCAGCACGGCCCUUACGUCCGGGGCUACACACGUGUUACAAUGGGGGGUACAGAAGGCAGCUAGCGGGUGACCGUAUGCUAAUCCCAAAAGCCUCUCUCAGUUCGGAUCGAAGUCUGCAACCCGACUUCGUGAAGCUGGAUUCGCUAGUAAUCGCGCAUCAGCCACGGAGCGGUGAAUACGUUCCCGGGCCUUGUACACACCGCCCGUCAAGCCAUGGGAGCCGGGGGUACCUGAAGUACGUAACAGCAAGGAUCGUCCUAGGGUAAAACUGGUGACUGGGGCUAAA